rnacentral:rRNA from 1 species
AGCAGCCGCGGUAAUUCCAGCUCCAAUAGCGUAUAUUAAAGUUGUUGCAGUUAAAAAGCUCGUAGUUGAAUUUCGGGAUCAAUAUUUCGGUCAUGCCGUUGGUAUGCACUGUUAUCAUUGAUUUCUCACCUUCUAAAGAACCGUAAUGCCAUUAAUUUGGUGUUACGGGGAAUUAGGACUGUUACCUUGAAAAAUUAGAGUGUUUAAAGCAGGCUCACGCUUGAAUACAUUAGCAUGGAAUAAUGAAAUAGGACAUCCGAUUCUAUUUUGUUGGUUUCUAGGAUCGAUGUAAUGAUUAAUAGGGAUAGUUGGGGGCAUUAGUAUUCAAUUGUCAGAGGUGAAAUUCUUGGAUUUAUUGAAGACUAACUACUGCGAAAGCAUUUGCCAAGGAUGUUUUCAUUAAUCAAGAACGAAAGUUAGGGGAUCGAAGACGAUCAGAUACCGUCGUAGUCUUAACCAUAAACUAUGCCGACUAGGGAUCGGAUGAUGUUAAUUUUUA